rnacentral:rRNA from 1 species
AUUGAACGCUGGCGGCAGGCCUAACACAUGCAAGUCGGGCGAGGGGCGGACGGGUGAGGAAUGUAUGGGGACCUGCCUGAGGGCGGGGGAUAACUACUGGAAAGGGUAGCUAAUACCGCAUACAAUCAGAGGAACACAUAUGGGAUUAGCAUGUAGGUGAGGUAACGGCCUACCUAGGCGACGAUCCCUAGCGGGUCUGAGAGGAUGAUCGGCCACACUGGGACUGAGCCACGGCCCAGACUCCUACGGGAGGCAGCAGUGGGGAAUAUUGCCCAAUGGGCGCAAGCCUGAUGCAGCCAUGCCGCUUGUAUGAAGAAGGCCUUCGGGUUUUAAAGUACUUUCAGUCGGGAGGCGUUACCGACAGAAGAAGCACCGGCUAACUCCGUGCCAGCAGCCGCGGUAAUAC